CUACUACUACUACUGCUGCUGCUGCUGCUGCUACUGCUGCUGCUGCUGCUGCUGCUGCUGCUUCAGCACUUUGCAACAUCUCUACUGUGCCUACUGCUACCACCAGUACUAGCAGUAACUACUGACAGUAGUAGUGUUAGUAACAGUAGCUGUACUCACUGGUAGUACUCAAACUGCUACUGUUACUAGAUUGGAAAGGCUCCACCCGCUGCACACCUGAGCUGGAUUAACAGCCUCUCAGACUCUGCUGCUGGAACUCUUCCUGCCUCUAACUGUCUGCAGACUCCAGCUCUCCUCGGUGCUUCACUGCCCCCUGGUGUCCAAACUCAGAGCUGCAGGUUGUUUCCUCUUCAUCGCUCACAUUUAAAGUUAGUUUUGAUCAAAAUAACUUAAGAUUAGAAAUAAAAACUAAGAUUUUAUUUUUAA